GGCUCAGGACGAACGCUGGCGGCGUGCUUAACACAUGCAAGUCGAACGGUGAAGCCCUUCGGGGUGGAUCUGGCGAACGGGUGAGUAACACGUGGGCAAUCUGCCCUGCACUCUGGGACAACACCGGGAAACCGGUGCUAAUACCGGAUACGACAUGCCUCCGCAUGGGGGUGUGUGGAAAGCUCCGGCGGUGCAGGAUGAGCCGCGGCCUAUCAGCUUGUUGGUGGGGUGACGGCCUACCAAGGCGACGACGGGUAGCCGGCCUGAGAGGGCGACCGGCCACACUGGGACUGAGACACGGCCCAGACUCCUACGGGAGGCAGCAGUGGGGAAUAUUGCACAAUGGGCGCAAGCCUGAUGCAGCGACGCCGCGUGAGGGAUGAAGGCCUUCGGGUUGUAAACCUCUUUCAGCAGGGAAGAAGCGUGAGUGACGGUACCUGCAGAAGAAGCACCGGCUAACUACGUGCCAGCAGCCGCGGUAAUACGUAGGGUGCGAGCGUUGUCCGGAAUUAUUGGGCGUAAAGAGCUCGUAGGCGGCCUGUCGCGUCGGAUGUGAAAGCCCGGGGCUCAACCCCGGGUCUGCAUUCGAUACGGGCAGGCUGGAGUUCGGCAGGGGAGAUCGGAAUUCCUGGUGUAGCGGUGAAAUGCGCAGAUAUCAGGAGGAACACCGGUGGCGAAGGCGGAUCUCUGGGCCGAUACUGACGCUGAGGAGCGAAAGCGUGGGGAGCGAACAGGAUUAGAUACCCUGGUAGUCCACGCCGUAAACGUUGGGAACUAGGUGUGGGCGACAUUCCACGUCGUCCGUGCCGCAGCUAACGCAUUAAGUUCCCCGCCUGGGGAGUACGGCCGCAAGGCUAAAACUC
rnacentral:rRNA from 1 species